AGCGAACGCUGGCGGCAGGCCUAACACAUGCAAGUCGAACGAACUCUUCGGAGUUAGUGGCGGACGGGUGAGUAACACGUGGGAACGUGCCUUUUGGUUCGGAAUAACUCAGGGAAACUUGUGCUAAUACCGAAUGUGCCCUUCGGGGGAAAGAUUUAUCGCCAUUAGAGCGGCCCGCGUCUGAUUAGCUAGUUGGUGAGGUAACGGCUCACCAAGGCGACGAUCAGUAGCUGGUCUGAGAGGAUGACCAGCCACACUGGGACUGAGACACGGCCCAGACUCCUACGGGAAGCAGCAGUGGGGAAUCUUGCGCAAUGGGCGAAAGCCUGACGCAGCCAUGCCGCGUGAAUGAUGAAGGUCUUAGGAUUGUAAAAUUCUUUCACCGGGGACGAAAAUGACGGUACCCGGAGAAGAAGCCCCGGCUAACUUCGUG
rnacentral:rRNA from 1 species